CGAUUACCAAUAUCAGCUGGAGUUCUGAAAUCAAUGCAAUGAUAUCUUUUGAUAUGAUUAACCUGAGUACAUUCAAUACAAUCUGGAUUAUCCAAGAUCGAUGGAACAGUAUCAUUCAGCUUUGUUAACCCCAACAAUGAUGAUGAAGCCGAAAUAUUUCAUGCUAAUGGACAAUUCCGUUAUAUGGGAGUAAAUACUGGGAAUUGUUGAAAGAUGCUAUUGGCUAGAACUUUCAAUACUGCCUGUGCCAUCAUCUGGGCUUGAUUGAAGCGUUCGAUUACCAAUAUCACCUGGAGUUCUGAAGUUAUGCAAUGAUAUCCUUUGAUAUGAUUAACCUAAGUACAUAAGAUACAAUCUGGAUUAUCCAAGAUCAAUGGAACAGUAUCAUUCAGUUUGAUUAACCCCAACCAUGAUGAAGCAGAAACAUUUCAUGCUAAUGGACAGAAACUGAAGAAUAGCCUGCUGUCACAAUCAAUUGCGUUGAAGGAUUGCGAUCCCGGUGACUGUAUUUGUCUUUGCAAAGUGUCAACAAGCUUAUGGGAAUGUAGUAACAAAAGGAUUGUGUGGCGGUGCAUGUAUUUGUCUUUGUUUUAAAUAUUGCUGAAUAAUUUUAGGGUAAUUUUACAAAUACUCAAGAUUUUGUAUUCCAACAACACGUUGAAAGUGUUAGAUGGAUAGUUAGUUUAACUGCAGUUAGUAACGAAGUUAGAUGGAUAGUUAGUUUAACUGUAGUUAGUAAAGAAGGAAGGUAGCUAAAGUUUGGUUAGCUAAGUUGAGUUAGUUCUGUAUAUAUAUUUAAUGCUGUUGUUGUUAAUAAAGAAUUAGA